UCUCUCUCUCCUCAUACUUUUGAGUGUUUGGAUUUUAUUUUUUCAAAAUCAUCUUUGAGUUAGUUAAACAUAAUUUUACAAUCAUCUUUUGAGUGUUUGAUUUUCAUUCAAAAUAAAUUUACCCAACCAUUACAAAUUCAUUGUUUCAUUUGACUUAUGGUGAUUGAUUUUAGUUACAAAAUCAAUUCUGCUUAAAAAUUGAUAUUUUUCUAGUUUUUGCAAUGAAAAGAUCUUGAGAUAAAAGAGAGUUCAUUUCAUUGUUCAACAUUUAAAAAUAAUAAGACCCAAAAUUAAAGAAAAAAAAAUAAAAUAUAACAACCUGGGUUGCAGAACAAUUUGGAGGAAAAAAAAUAGUUUCA
rnacentral:lncRNA from 1 species